rnacentral:ncRNA from 1 species
GUUUAAAGGAGGAAAGGCAUACGGUGGUUACCUAGGCACCCAGAGAGAAGGAAGGGCAUAGUAAUCGAUGAAAUACUUCAGGGAGUUGAAAAUCAGCAUAGAUACGGAGAUUACCAAAUAGGGAAACCUUUCGAACUACUGCUGAAUCCAUGGGCAGGCAAGAGAGAACCAAGCGAACUGAAAGAUCUUAGUAGCCUGAGAAAAAGAAAGCAAAAGCGAUUUCUGUAGUAGCGGCGGGCGAAAUGGGAGAUGCCUAAAUCAUGAAAAUGGGGUUGUGGGAGAGUAACACAAGCAUCGUGCAGCUAGGCAAAGCAUCCCGAAUGUUGUACCUUAGAUGGCAAAAGUCCAGUAGCUGAAAGCAUCACUAGUUAGGCUUUGACCCAAAUAGCAUGGGGCACGUGGAAUCCUGUGUGAAUCAGGAAGGACCACCUUGCAAGGCUAAAUACUCCUGGGUGACCGAUAGCAAAGUAGUACCGAGAGGGUAAAGAACUCCUGGGAGUGAAAUAGAACAUAAAAGCGUAAGCUCCCAAGCAGUAGGAGGAUCUAGGGCUCUGACUGCAUGCCUGUUAAAGAAUGAGCCGGCGACUCAUAGGCAGUGGCUUGGUUAAGGGAACCCACUGGAGCCAUAUCAAAAAUAAGUUUUCAUUGGCCAAUUGUCACUGCUUAUGGACCUGAACCUGGGUGAUCUAUCCAUGACCAAGAUGAAGUUUGGGUGAAACUAAGUGGAGGUCUGACCGACUGAUGUUGAAGAAUCAACAGGUGAGUUACAGUUAGGGGUGAAAUGCCAUUCGUACCCAGAGCUAGUUGGUUCUCUUUGAAAUAUAUUGAGGCACAACAGUUGACUGGACAUCUAGGGGUAAUGCACAGUUUCGGUGUGGGCCGCGAGAGCAGUACCAAAUCGAGGAAAACUCUAAAUACUAGAUAUGACCUCAAAAUAACAGGGGAGCAAGGUCGGUUAGUGAGAUGAUGGGGGAUAAGAUUCAUCAUCAAGAGGGAAAGAAAGAGACCAGAUCACUAGCUAAGGCCCCUAAAUGACCACUUAGUGAUAAAGAAGGUAGGGGUGCAGAGAUAGCCAGGAGGUUUGCCUAGAAGCAGCCACCCUUGAAAGAGUGCGUAAUAGCUUACUGAUCGAGUGCUCUUGUGCCGAAGAUGAAUGGGGCUAAGCGAUCUGUCGAAGCUGUGGAAUGUCAAAAUACAUUGGUAGGGAUAUUUGAAUUCCUUGUCCUCUCUUUCCAGUAUUUUCUAAUAAAUAGCAAUUAGGAAUAAAGAAUAUAUAUCAAAGAAAGGUCUAACUUUUGGAAUUAUUUUUUCCAUUGCUAUUUGAUACAUUUUGAUCAC